rnacentral:rRNA from 1 species
GACCUGCGGAAGGAUCAUUACACUCAGUAGUUUACUACUGUUAAAGAGUCUGUUAGUCUGUAUAGCUUAAUCGCUGAUGAGCAGCUUGUCUCUUUUCUCCACCCUUGUCUUUUGCGUACCCAUGUUUCCUCGGCAGGCUUGCCUGCCGGUUGGACAAUUCUAUAACCUUUUUAAUAUUUAAUCAGCGUCUGAAAAACUUAAUAAUUACAACUUUCAACAACGGAUCUCUUGGUUCUGGCAUCGAUGAAGAACGCAGCGAAAUGCGAUAAGUAGUGUGAAUUGCAGAAUUCAGUGAAUCAUCGAAUCUUUGAACGCACAUUGCGCCCCUUGGUAUUCCAUGGGGCAUGCCUGUUCGAGCGUCAUUUGUACCUUCAAGCUUUGCUUGGUGUUGGGUGUUUGUCCUCUCCCUAGUGUUUGGACUCGCCUUAAAACAAUUGGCAGCCAGUGUUUUGGUAUUGAAGCGCAGCACAAGUCGCGAUUUAAUCCAACAACACUUGCGUCCACAAGUAUUUUUUAACUUUUGACCUCGGAUCAGGUAGGGAUACCCGCUGAACUUAAGCAUAUCAAUAAGCGGAGGAAAAGAAACCAACAGGGAUUGCCCUAGUAACGGCGAGUGAAGCGGCAACAGCUCAAAUUUGAAAUCUGGCUCUUUCAGAGUCCGAGUUGUAAUUUGCAGAGGGCGCUUUGGCGUUGGCAGCGGUCCAAGUUCUUUGGAACAGGACGUCACAGAGGGUGAGAAUCCCGUACGUGG